GGAGGCAACGGAGAGAAAAAUGAUAUUAGUGAUAAAAAGUAAUAUACAGAAUGAAAUAAAGUGGAAUCUAUGACAUGCUGAACUUUGAUUGAAAUUUAAGAAAUCAAUGCCAGAGGCAAUGUAACCCCUGCCACACGCCCACCCGCCCCCAGUGCCACCACCUGCUGCUGCUGCCGAUGAUAUCGACUGAUAAGAAGCGACACCGAUAACAGCGCGACCCUGGAGAGCAACAAACGAGAUGUACAGCUGCGAGGGCUCACAGUCGAUAAGCAAUUGUCUCGGAAAAAUUCAACAGUUGAGCCACUGUUGAGCACUCCUGACCGUAUUCUCAGAAGCGCCAUCUAGCGGGAACCUUUGUGAGCAACACUCGCGCUGCCAGCUCCGUGGCAAACCAGUUCCGUUCCACGCGCUUGACCAAUUUUAGUGUAUUCUUAGUCACUGCUGCUAAACCAGAAAUCUAAUAAGAAAAAAAGUGAAAAUAACAAAACAAAUGCGAUAAAUUUUGU